ACCCCCACCCCGGACCCCGGGCCUGGGCUGCUGCUGGCUGCUCCCGCUGCUGGGGCUGCCUGCUUUCCCGGUCACCUGGGUCCCGGAGCUCUGCUCUCCGGCCGCGCUCUCCUCAACAAAAACCUCCCCCCUCCACACCCCCCUCCCCACUCCCACCUCCUUUCCCCUGACAGCAGUGAUGUCAGUCUCAGGGGUGGAAUACAAAUUCUCUACCCUGGAGAGGGACGCACAAUCCAGACAAGAGCCACGCCCUCUUUCUAUCUCCUUCCUCUCUGACUCCCCUCCCGCCCCCAGAAGAGAAGAGCAGCUGGUCCUGUUGAUAAUAACCCUUCCCCCAGCUUACUUCCCAAUCACGAGUUGGGCAAGGCACUAAGAUGGAGAAUUUACAGAGGAGCCCUAAGGUGGGGUCCAUUGUUCCGGGGGCUGGAGCUGUCCCCGGUGCUGGAAGAGAAGACCCGGGAGAGGGGAACAGGGGGGAGGAGGAGAGGGGAGCCGGUAUCUGGGGAGACAGAGAGUGGGGAGCCAAGGAAAGAAAUCAGGGAAAAGAAAAUGGCAUAGAACAGUUGGACAGGUUAGGUGGGGAGGGAGGUGUAGCUGGGGAGCGAAGCAGGGCACAGAGCCCGGGGGAAAAAGGGCAGAAGGGACCAAGAGAGGAGAGAUGCAAAGGGGGCAGGGAAGGGGAGAGCGGGGUGAGAUGAGUGCAGAGAGGAAACUGUGGAUUUUCCGGAAAAGGAACCAAGAAAAACUAUAUCUUGCUGGCAUUUGCUGACGCCCCCUUCUCUCCCUCUGGGGGGUUUGUGUGUAUAAGUGUGUGGGCAGGGAGGCGCGCUGGGGAUGGCGGGAGCCCUCACUUGUGAGCUCCUUGAAGACCAGGACUUCAUUUAAUUCAGCAUUUUACUGUUCACGUGUCUAGCACAGUGUCUUGUUCAUACGUAGUAGGUGCUUAACAAAUAUUUCUCAAAUAAACAGUUGAUGCAAAGAACCUCUGACAAGAGUAGAUUCCUGGUUCCUUCAGCGGGAAGAACCACAGCUGUGAAACUUCCCUUUAGGGCAGAGGAAAUCCAGCCUGAGUUUCUGUUGCCUGAAGCCACAUUCUGGCAGGUGUGUAUGUCUGAGUGUGUGUAUGUGUGGACACUUCAUCAAACGGAUGCUCAGGCCCUUCCAGUAGGGUCCCCUAAGAUGGGUGGGUUGAGGGAGAUGGUAGAGGACCCAGUGUUGGGUGGUCAGAAUAUGAUGGCAGUGCCAGGGAAUCAGGAGUGCAGACACAUCUGGAAAGUAACUUUCCACUCACCUCCCCACCCCCACUGCUCCUUUUCUUGCCUUCUAAUCUGAUCUUGGUAUUUAUGGAGAUGCUAAACAGAUCAUGCCCUCUGAGGAUGGAGCCUAGGAAGACCCCCACAGCCCUGCUGAUCUCAUUACUCUGUGUCUUGUCAGCAGAUCUGCCGCCCUGCUGCUCAUUCAGUCUUAGGGCUAAUCAUAUUAAUUGAAA
rnacentral:lncRNA from 1 species